AGUGAACGCUGGCGGUAGGCCUAACACAUGCCAGUCGAACGGCAGCACAGUAAGAGCUUGCUCUUACGGGUGGCGAGUGGCGGACGGGUGAGGAAUACAUCGGAAUCUACUUUUUCGUGGGGGAUAACGUAGGGAAACUUACGCUAAUACCGCAUACGACCUACGGGUGAAAGCAGGGGAUCUUCGGACCUUGCGCGAUUGAAUGAGCCGAUGUCGGAUUAGCUAGUUGGCGGGGUAAAGGCCCACCAAGGCGACGAUCCGUAGCUGGUCUGAGAGGAUGAUCAGCCACACUGGAACUGAGACAGGGUCCAGACGCCUACGGGAGGCAGCAGUGGGGAAUAUUGGACAAUGGGCGCAAGCCUGAUCCAGCCAUACCGCGUGGGUGAAGAAGGCCUUCGGGUUGUAAAGCCCUUUUGUUGGGAAAGAAAAGCAGCAGGUUAAUACCCCGCUGUUCUGACGGUACCCAAAGAAUAAGCACCGGCUAACUUCGUG
rnacentral:rRNA from 1 species